rnacentral:rRNA from 1 species
AUUGAACGCUGGCGGCAGGCCUAACACAUGCAAGUCGAGCGAGCGGCGGACGGGUGUGUAAUGUCUGGGAAAAUGCCCGAUGGAGGGGGAUAACUACUGGAAACGGUUGCUAAUACCGCAUACCAUCAGAUGUGCCCAGAUGGGGUUAGCUCGUAGGGGGGGUAACGGCUCCCCUAGGCGACGCUCCCUAGGUGGGCUGAGAGGAUGACCAGCCACACUGGAACUGAGACACGGUCCAGACUCCUAAGGGAGGCAGGAGUGGGGAAUAGUGCACAAUGGGCGCAAGCCUGAUGGAGCCAUGCCGCGUGGGUGAAGAAGGCCUUCGGGUUGUAAAGCACUUUCAGCGGGGAGGCGUUACCCGCAGAAGAAGCACCGGCUAACUCCGUGCCAGCAGCCGCGGUAAUAC